AGUGAACGCUGGCGGUAGGCCUAACACAUGCAAGUCGAACGGCAGCACAGUAAGAGCUUGCUCUUACGGGUGGCGAGUGGCGGACGGGUGAGGAAUACAUCGGAAUCUACUUUUUCGUGGGGGAUAACGUAGGGAAACUUACGCUAAUACCGCAUACGACCUACGGGUGAAAGCAGGGGAUCUUCGGACCUUGCGCGAUUGAAUGAGCCGAUGUCGGAUUAGCUAGUUGGCGGGGUAAAGGCCCACCAAGGCGAGGAUCCGUAGCUGGACUGAGAGGAUGAUCGGCCACACUGGAACUGAGACACGGUCCAGACUCCUACGGGAGGCAGCAGUGGGGAAUAUUGGACAAAGGGCGCAAGCCUGAUCCAGCCAUACCGCGUGGGUGAAGAAGGCCUUCGGGUUGUAAAGCCCUUUUGUUGGGAAAGAAAAGCAGCAGGUUAAUACCCCGCUGUUCUGACGGUACCCAAAGAAUAAGCACCGGCUAACUUCGUG
rnacentral:rRNA from 1 species